rnacentral:rRNA from 1 species
AUCUUCGGCAAUGGGCGCAAGCCUGACCGAGCGACGCCGCGUGCGGGAUGAAGGCCUUCGGGUUGUAAACCGCUGUCGUAGAGGAGGAAAUGCAGGGGGGUUCUCCCUUCUGUUUGACCUAUUCUAGGAGAAAGUACGGGCUAAGUUCGUGCCAGCAGCCGCGGUAAGACGAACCGUACAAACGUUACUCGGAAUUACUGGGCUUAAAGGGUGCGUAGGCUGCGCGGAAAGUUGGGUGUGAAAGCCCUCGGCUCAACCGAGGAAUUGCACUCAAAACUACCGUGCUUGAGGGAGACAGAGGUAAGCGGAACUCAAGGUGGAGCGGUGAAAUGCGUUGAUAUCUUGAGGAACACCGGUGGCGAAGGCGGCUUACUGGGUCUUUUCUGACGCUGAGGCACGAAAGCUAAGGUAGCAAACGGGAUUAGAUACCCCGGUAGUCUUAGCUGUAAACGAUGAGCACUUGAUUGGAGGGUCCUCCAUAGCCUUCCAGUCGUAGCGAAAGUGUUAAGUGCUCCGCCUGGGGAGUAUGGUCGCAAGGCUGAAACUCAAAGAAA